rnacentral:rRNA from 1 species
CGGAGGGUGCAAGCGUUAUCCGGAUUCACUGGGUUUAAAGGGCGCGUAGGUGGGUAAGUAAGUCAGUGGUGAAAUCUCCGGGCUUAACCCGGAAACUGCCAUUGAUACUAUUUGUCUUGAAUACUGUGGAGGUCAGCGGAAUAUGUCAUGUAGCGGUGAAAUGCUUAGAUAUGACAUAGAACACCAAUUGCGAAGGCAGCUGGCUACACAAAUAUUGACACUGAGGCACGAAAGUGUGGGGAUCAAACAGGAUUAGAUACCCUGGUAGUCCACGCCCUAAACUAUGGAUACUCGACAUUUGCGAUAAACUGCAAGUGUCUGAGCGAAAGCAUUAAGUAUCCCACCUGGGAAGUACGAUCGCAAGAUUG